rnacentral:lncRNA from 1 species
UCCCUUGCUUGUAACAUUGAGAAAUCAAAACUCUCACAUAUGUUGUACAUGUAAACACAAAACAGAAGACAGAGCUGAUCUCUUUUAUUCCAAACCAUCAAAAUACAAAUACAAUCACAGUUACUCUUAAAACCACAACCAAUUCCAUAUACAUAAUUGCACACAAGGAGAGAAAAACCUCUCCAAUCUCUGACUUCACGGACGCUCACACUUUGACAGAGAAGAUCUCACUCAGGGAACUCCAAGUUCCCGACACAGCAAGAACCACACCUAGUACCACAAUCGCUGUGUCUGAACUCCAUUGCAGCCACCCCAUCUCUUCCUUGAACACCAAUAAAUGAAACAAUGCAGGUAACACAAAGCCUAACACACAGCAAGUGCUGCUGCCAACCAAUGACAAAAAAUCUGCAAAGUUUGGCACAAAAAGAGCCACCAGAGUCACUGCUAAGACGAGUACCCAUCUGAGCCACGCAGAGUACAUCCCGCGUGAGAAACGCCUCUCCACUAUCUCAAACACUGGAUUCAUCAUCAAGGGGAAGGUGAAGAAGAGGUUGAUGCACAGUCCAAGCUGGACAACAGUGCUGACAAGUCCUGCCCCCAAGUUAGCAGUGAUAAUGUCCAUGGUGUCCUCACCAAAAGCCAAGUAACCUAAGAUACCAAAUGCGAUGUAUAUGAGAGAGAUGAAUCCCAUGCCGAGAGCCAAGACUUUGCCAAACUUGUCCUUGUCCUUCAUCUCCGAUUCAAGAGGCAAGACCAUUCCAACGCCUUCGAAGGAAUAGACAGCGACGCCCAUACCAUACAAGAAGAGGGACAUACCACCAAAGGCAACCACGUCAGGCCUUUGCUUGAGUAUAAUCAUGGAAUCCUCAACAAUGACCACAGCCAUAGCGCCAAGAUCAACAAUAUCGGCGAAGAUGCUGAGAGGAGCCAAGUGAGUGAGCGUCUUGAUCGAAUUCAAACCGAGCUGAAAGGGAAAGCAUCCCCAUAUGUAGAGACUCUUAGAAGACACGCCCAGGAAUUCAGAACCCAGCCUUGUAAACUGAUGCCUCAGACUGGUGGGCGAUUCAGGAUCGGAUAGAUUAGCUAAAGUAGUGCCGAUGAAGAUAAGAUAUCCGACACAAAAACCAGCUUGAGACAGAAUGAUAAAUAAGUCAACGACGAUCCUCCCCAAGGAGCCGCAGACGGCGAAUCCAAGGUCACCAAAAGAGCCGAUCUUGGAGAUGCCAGCAUUGAAAGAGUCGAGCUUGCGGCGGGUAUAGACAAGAAGCAUCAUACAGUGAUGGGUCAAAACAGAGACGGAGACGAGGAGGAGGACACCCAUGAGCCAUCCGGUUCGCUUGAAGGCGUAAGGAAGACCAAGAACACCAGCGCCGACGACAGCGAUGAAGACGUUGGCGAAGGUCUUAAACUGGCUGGAGAGGGGAGGUCCCUUGCCGAGAAGAGGCGAGUCCUCUCUGGCCGGUGGAGGUAUUUUAAGGGUAUAAGAGGAGGAGCUAGCUUCGUUCUGAAAACCCAUCUGAUGAUUUUCGACCGAAUCUCAGAAAUCGAAGAAGAUGGGGAUGGAUAUUGGCGAAUGGCGACAGCAAGAUAAUUGGAUGAAUUGCGUGUAGAGUUGGUGGACUCUCUUUUUUGGUUUGUUGUC